GAUGAACGCUAGCGGCAGGCUUAAUACAUGCAAGUCGAGGGGUAGCAAGAUUGUAGCAAUACAAUUGUUGACGACCGGCAAACGGGUGCGGAACACGUACACAACCUUCCUACAAGUGGGGAAUAGCCCAGAGAAAUUUGGAUUAAUACCCCGUAACAUAGCGAUGUGGCAUCACAUUGCUAUUAUAGCUUCGGCACUUGUUGAUGGGUGUGCGGCUGAUUAGAUAGUUGGCGGGGUAACGGCCCACCAAGUCUACGAUCAGUAGCUGAUGUGAGAGCAUGAUCAGCAACACGGGCACUGAGACACGGGCCCGACUCCUACGGGAGGCAGCAGUAAGGAAUAUUGGACAAUGGACGCAAGUUUGAUCCAGCCAUGCCGCGUGAAGGAUUAAGGUCCUCUGGAUUGUAAACUUCUUUUAUAAGGGACGAAAAAAGGUCUUUCUAGAUCGUCUGACGGUACCUUAUGAAUAAGCACCGGCUAACUCCGUGCCAGCCGCCGCCGUAACAC
rnacentral:rRNA from 1 species